GUUGCAAAGAACUUUGAAGAGAGAGUUCAAGAGUACGUGAAACUGCUGAGAGGCAAACUGGUGGGCCCUCGAAAUCCCGUCUGCGGGGAGAUUCAGUCGGGUGUCGGCGGCCGUCUCGCAAUGGGUCUGUCGCAACCGAAGAUCGGGGCACAUUCCGAGAGGCGAGUUCGCCGGAACCCGACGCAUUUCCCGCCCGCACGAAAGGACGCCGCAGCCGGUCGGGUAGCUGCGCGUGUCGGCCAUGAGGACGUGGCAACGGCAGGUGACCGGCGGCCCUAGGCUUCUUCGGAGGCACUAACGGUCGACGGUUGAUUAGCCGGCUCGUCCGUGGCGCGACACCCGACCGAGGAAACACGGACAAAAAUUUUCUCUCCACGGAGAGAAACUUAUAAUCCACUACUUUCAAUACGAGAGCGAGCCGUCGGACAGGCGCGUUCCUGCGUGGUCGGACAGUCACCGCACUGGUCGAUCUGGUGGGAGCGCGUCGUUGGUUUCCGAGUCAGGAUCUCGCGGAGGAGGAUGAAGGCUGGCGGCGAGUAGGUCGGUAACCCACCCGACCCGUCUUGAAACACGGACCAAGGAGUCUAACAUGUGCGCAAGUCGCGGGGUCUUGCUCAGGCCCAGAGGCGAAAUGAAAGUGAAGGCCGCCGCUCUCCCUCGUUCACUCGGGGGCGGAGUGAGGCGGCCCGGUUGGGACUCGCACGUGACACGGCACGUGAACGAAGCACCAACGACCCGCCCUGUUCUAUCUUCUGGAUAGGAACUCAAACGGAGUUCGAGCGCACACGUUGGGACCCGAAAGAUGGUGAACUAUGCCUGGGCAGGACGAAGCCAGAGGAAACUCUGGUGGAGGUCCGCAGCGGUUCUGACGU
rnacentral:rRNA from 1 species